rnacentral:rRNA from 1 species
UACAGAGGUCCCAAGCGUUGUUCGGAUUCACUGGGCGUAAAGGGUGCGUAGGUGGCCAGGUAAGUCUGAUGUGAAAGCUCGGAGCUCAACUCCGAAAUGGCAUUGGAUACUAUCUGGCUGGAGGGUCGGAGGGGGGACUGGAAUUCUCGGUGUAGCAGUGAAAUGCGUAGAUAUCGAGAGGAACACCAGUGGCGAAGGCGAGUCCCUGGACGACUCCUGACACUGAGGCACGAAAGCUAGGGGAG